AGUGCAAUUGCUGGGUUGCAUGGAAAUUGCAUGUUUAGUUCUCGAGGAAACUGCCAAACUGUUUUCCAGGGAGGCCAUGCCAUUCCUCAUGCCACCAGCAAU
rnacentral:pre_miRNA from 1 species